GACGAACGCUGGCGGCGUGCCUAAUACAUGCAAGUCUAACGCAGUGGAGACGGGUGAUUAACACGUGGGUAACCUCCACAUCAGAGGGGAUAACACUUGGAAACAGGUGCUAAACCGAUACUGAUGGAUGGACCAGCGGUGCAUUAGCUAGUUGGUGAGGUAACGGCUCACCAAGGAACCGAUACAGAGCCGACCUGAGAGGGUGAUCGGCCACACUGGAACUGAGACACGGCCCAGACUCCUACGGUAGGCAGCAGUAGGGAAUCUUCGGCAAUGGACGAAAGUCUGACCGAGCAACGCCGCGUGAGUGAAGAAGGUUUUCGGAUCGUAAAACUCUGUUGUUAGAGAAGCGGUAUCCAACCAGAAAGCCACGGCUAACUACGUGCCAGCAGCCGCGGUAAUUC
rnacentral:rRNA from 1 species